GAUGGUGUGCUGGUGGUUUAACGUGCCUCGUUCCCAAUCAGUAGGUCGUUGGUUCGAUUCCAGCCACCUACU